ACGAUCCGUAGCGGGUCUGAGAGGAUGAUCCGCCACACUGGGACUGAGACACGGCCCAGACUCCUACGGGAGGCAGCAGUGGGGAAUUUUGGACAAUGGGCGCAAGCCUGAUCCAGCCAUGCCGCGUGAGUGAAGAAGGCCUUCGGGUUGUAAAGCUCUUUCGGCCGGGAAGAAAUCGUGGUCUCUAACAUAGGCCAUGGAUGACGGUACCGGACUAAGAAGCACCGGCUAACUACGUGCCAGCAGCCGCGGUAAUACGUAGGGUGCGAGCGUUAAUCGGAAUUACUGGGCGUAAAGCGUGCGCAGGCGGUUUUGUAAGACAGAUGUGAAAUCCCCGGGCUUAACCUGGGGAACUGCGUUUGUGACUGCAAGGCUAGAGUACGGCAGAGGGGGGUGGAAUUCCUGGUGUAGCAGUGAAAUGCGUAGAGAUCAGGAGGAACACCGAUGGCGAAGGCAGCCCCCUGGGCCUGUACUGACGCUCAUGCACGAAAGCGUGGGG
rnacentral:rRNA from 1 species